CGCCGCCGCAGCAGCCGUCGAGACUCCGUCGCAUGCGACGGCAACAGCAACUGCAUUCAACGGAAAAUGCUUCUCCGCAUGCUGUUUCGGUAUCACCAACCGAUUCAACUUCCCCACGUCACUCGGCGUAACCGUUUUCUCAAACAACUGCUCACGCGCUUUAGCAUCACACGCGCCACGUGAAACCGCACCAUUCAAUUCUCCGUUACGCCGCUGUCUUCCACCGCUCAUGUCACGCAUGCUUUGCUUAAGCUCGUCAUCGUAGGUGUGUUUCCGAAGCAUAUCAACAAUCUCCGACUUAGAAUGUGAAUUCAGAAACUCAGUUUCACCUUCGUCGGCGUCGUUACCAACGCCAGUGAGACUUUUAGAAUUUGUAACAGCAUCUUUUCCACGGAAUCUCAAGGCGGCUAUGUCAUAGGCUCUGGCUGCUUCGUCUUCUUCAUUGAACGUACCAAGCCACACACGCUGGUGUUUCUCGUAAAUCUGUGCUCCCCAACGUCCGUUAGGCUGUGGCACCACGCCUUUGUAUUUCGACGAUGGAAGUUUACGAGACUCCGCCUCACCGGAGACGCCGUAGAUUUCUGGAUCCACGACGGAGCUAGCAGCACUGCCAACGCGGCUUAGUGAGUUCAGCGUUGGCGGCGGUGUAGAUAAGUUCGCCG
rnacentral:lncRNA from 1 species